CGAGAAUCUUCGGCAAUGGGCGCAAGCCUGACCGAGCGACGCCGCGUGGAGGAUGAAGGCCUUCGGGUUGUAAACUCCUGUCGAGGGGGAAAAAGGGCCGCAAGGUCUUGAUUGAUCCCUGGAGGAAGCACGGGCUAAGUUCGUGCCAGCAGCCGCGGUAAGACGAACCGUGCGAACGUUAUUCGGAAUCAUUGGGCUUAAAGCGCGUGUAGGCGGGUUCGUGCGUCUGUCGCUGAAAUCCCCCGGCUCAACCGGGGAAGGGGCGCGGAUACGACGAGUCUGGAGGGGCAUAGGGGGACCUGGAACUUCCGGUGGAGCGGUGAAAUGCGUUGAGAUCGGAAGGAACGCCCGUGGCGAAAGCGAGGUCCUGGAUGCUUACUGACGCUGAGACGCGAAAGCCAGGGGAGCGAACGGGAUUAGAUACCCCGGUAGUCCUGGCCGUAAACGAUGGGUACUGGAUAGGGGGCUCGCCGAUGGGCUCCCUGUCGUAGGGAAACCGUGAAGUACCCCGCCUGGGGAGUAUGGUCGCAAGGCUG
rnacentral:rRNA from 1 species